rnacentral:rRNA from 1 species
ACUUUGCAAUGUGCGAAAGCACGACAAGGUUAAUCCGAGUGGUUCCUGCUAAAGGAACCUUUUGUCGGUCCUAGAAACACCGAUGAAUAAGGGGUGGGCAAGUUCUGGUGUCAGCCGCCGCGGUAAAACCAGCACCUCAAGUGGUCAGGAUGAUUAUUGGGCCUAAAGCAUCCGUAGCCGGCUCUGUAAGUUUUCGGUUAAAUCUGUACGCUUAACGUACAGGCUGCCGGGAAUACUGCAGAGCUAGGGAGUGGGAGAGGUAGACGGUACUCGGUAGGAAGGGGUAAAAUCCUUUGAUCUAUCGAUGACCACCUGUGGCGAAGGCGGUCUACCAGAACACGUCCGACGGUGAGGGAUGAAAGCUGGGGGAGCAAACCGGGAUUAGGA